AUGACGGUACUUGCAGAAGAAGCACCGGCUAACUACGUGCCAGCAGCCGCGGUAAUACGUAGGGAGCGAGCGUUAAUCGGAAUUACUGGGCGUAAAGCGUGCGCAGGCGGUUCUGCAAGUCAGAUGUGAAAUCUCCGGGCUUAACCUGGGAGCUGCGUUUGAAACUACGGAGCUAGAGUGCGGCAGAGGAGAGUGGAAUUCCACGUGUAGCAGUGAAAUGCGUAGAUAUCAGGAGGAACACCGGUGGCGAAGGCAGCUCUCUGGGCCGACACUGACGCUCAGGCACGAAAGCGUGGGGAGCAAACAGGAUUAGAUACCCUGGUAGUCCACGCCCUAAACGAUGUCUACUAGUUGUUGGUGAAUCAAUUCCUUCUGUACCGAAGCUAACGCGUGA
rnacentral:rRNA from 1 species